rnacentral:rRNA from 1 species
CCUACGGGUGGCAGCAGUCGGGAAUAUUGCGCAAUGGAGGAAACUCUGACGCAGUGACGCCGCGUGCAUGAAGAAGGUUUUCGGAUUGUAAACUGCUUUAGACAGGGAAGAAAAAAGACUGUUCCUGUAGAAUAAGCUCCGGCUAACUACGUGCCAGCAGCCGCGGUAAUACGGAGGGAGCAAGCGUUAUUCGGAUUUAUUGGGUGUAAGGGGUUCGUAGACGGUGAAGUAAGUUAGUGGUGAAAUCCCUGGGAUUAACGGAGGAACUGCAACUGAAACUACUUCCCUUGAGUACUGGAGAGGAAAGUAGAAUUCCAGGGGUAGCGGUGAAAUGCGUAGAGAUUAGGAGGAACACCAGUGGCGAAGGCGACUUUCUGGACAGUAACUGACGUUGAGGUGCGAAAGUGUGGGGAGCAAACAGGAUUAGAUACCCGUGUAGUC